rnacentral:rRNA from 1 species
UACGAAGGGUGCAAGCGUUACUCGGAAUUACUGGGCGUAAAGCGUGCGUAGGCGGUGGUUUAAGUCUGAUGUGAAAUCCCCGGGCUCAACCUGGGAAUGGCAUUGGAUACUGGAUCGCUAGAGUACGGUAGAGGGUGGUGGAAUUCCCGGUGUAGCAGUGAAAUGCGUAGAGAUCGGGAGGAACAUCUGUGGCGAAGGCGGCCACCUGGACCAGUACUGACGCUGAGGCACGAAAGCGUGGGGAGCAAACAGG